rnacentral:rRNA from 1 species
GACGUAGGGUCCAAGCGUUUGUCCGGAUUUACUGGGCGUAAAGAGCGCGUAGGCGGCUCGUUAAGUGUAGAGUGAAAUCUCUGGGCUCACCCCAGAAACUGCUCUGCAUACUGGCGAGCUUGAGUGAUGAAGAGGUUUGUGGAAUUCCUGGUGUAACGGUGAAAUGUGUUGAUAUCAGGAGGAACACCCAUGGCGAAGGCAGCAAACUGGUCAUCAACUGACGCUGAGGCGCGAAAGCGUGGGUAGCAAACAGG